rnacentral:rRNA from 1 species
AGAGUUUGAUCCUGGCUCAGGAUGAACGCUAGCGGCAGGCUUAACACAUGCAAGUCGAGGGGCAGCACGGGUAGCAAUAUCUGGUGGCGACCGGCGCAAGGGUGCGUAACGCGUGAGCAACAUGCCCGUAUCAGGGGAAUAAUCCAGGGAAACUUGGUCUAAUACCCCAUAGUAAAUAUUAAAGGCAUCUUUAAUAUUUUAAAGCUUUGGUGGAUACGGAUUGGCUCGCGUGACAUUAGCUAGAUGGUAAGGUAACGGCUUACCAUGGCUACGAUGUCUAGGGGUUCUGAGAGGAAGAUCCCCCACACUGGAACUGAGACACGGUCCAGACUCCUACGGGAGGCAGCAGUGAGGAAUAUUGGACAAUGGAUGGAAAUCUGAUCCAGCCAUGCCGCGUGCAGGAAGACGGCCCUAUGGGUUGUAAACUGCUUUUAUAUGGGAGCAAUAAGACCUACGUGUAGGUUGAUGAGAGUACCAUAUGAAUAAGCACCGGCUAACUCCGUGCCAGCAGCCGCGGUAAUACGGAGGGUGCAAGCGUUAUCCGGAUUUAUUGGGUUUAAAGGGUGCGUAGGCGGUUUGAUAAGUCAGCGGUGAAAUAUUUCAGCUUAACUGGAAGGGUGCCGUUGAUACUGUCAGGCUUGAAUUUAGUUGCUGUGGGUGGAAUGUGUGGUGUAGCGGUGAAAUGCAUAGAUAUCACACAGAAUAUCGAUUGCGAAGGCAGCUCACAAAGCUAAUAUUGACGCUGAUGCACGAAAGUGUGGGGAUCAAACAGGAUUAGAUACCCUGGUAGUCCACACUGUAAACGAUGAUAACUCGCUGUCGGCGAUACAUAGUCGGUGGCCAAGCGAAAGCGAUAAGUUAUCCACCUGGGGAGUACGACCGCAAGGUUGAAACUCAAAUGAAUUGACGG